rnacentral:rRNA from 1 species
GUGGGGAAUCUUCCGCAAUGGACGAAAGUCUGACGGAGCAACGCCGCGUGAGUGAUGAAGGUCUUCGGAUUGUAAAGCUCUGUUAAUCGGGACGAAAGAGCCUAGUGUGAAUAAUGCUAGGAAGUGACGGUACCGGAAUAGAAAGCCACGGCUAACUACGUGCCAGCAGCCGCGGUAAUACGUAGGUGGCAAGCGUUGUCCGGAAUUAUUGGGCGUAAAGCGCACGCAGGCGGAUCUGCCAGUCUGUCUUAAAAGUUCGGGGCUUAACCCCGUGAUGGGAUGGAAACUACAGAUCUAGAGUAUCGGAGAGGAAAGUGGAAUUCCUAGUGUAGCGGUGAAAUGCGUAGAUAUUAGGAAGAACACCAGUGGCGAAGGCGACUUUCUGGACGAAAACUGACGCUGAGGCGCGAAAGCCAGGGGAGCGAACGGGAUUAGAAACCCGGGUAGUCC